UACGAAGGGGGCUAGCGUUGCUCGGAAUCACUGGGCGUAAAGGGUGCGUAGGCGGGUCUUUAAGUCAGGGGUGAAAUCCUGGAGCUCAACUCCAGAACUGCCUUCGAUACUGGGAGUCUCGAGUUCGGGAGAGGUGAGUGGAACUGCGAGUGUAGAGGUGAAAUUCGUAGAUAUUCGCAAGAACACCAGUGGCGAAGGCGGCUCACUGGCCCGAUACUGACGCUGAUGUGCGAAAGCGUGGGGAGCAAACAGG
rnacentral:rRNA from 1 species